GAUGAACGCUGGCGGCGUGCCUAAUACAUGCAAGUCGAGCGAACAGACGAGGAGCUUGCUCCUCUGACGUUAGCGGCGGACGGGUGAGUAACACGUGGAUAACCUACCUAUAAGACUGGGAUAACUUCGGGAAACCGGAGCUAAUACCGGAUAAUAUAUUGAACCGCAUGGUUCAAUAGUGAAAGACGGUUUUGCUGUCACUUAUAGACGGAUCCGCGCCGCAUUAGCUAGUUGGUAAGGUAACGGCUUACCAAGGCAACGAUGCGAAGCCGACCUGAGAGGGUGAUCGGCCACACUGGAACUGAGACACGGUCCAGACUCCUACGGGAGGCAGCAGUAGGGAAUCUUCCGCAAUGGGCGAAAGCCUGACGGAGCAACGCCGCGUGAGUGAUGAAGGUCUUCGGAUCGUAAAACUCUGUUAUUAGGGAAGAACAAAUGUGUAAGUAACUAUGCACGUCUUGACGGUACCUAAUCAGAAAGCCACGGCUAACUACGUG
rnacentral:rRNA from 1 species